rnacentral:rRNA from 1 species
GAUGAACGAUGGCGGUGUGCCUAAUACAUGCAAGUCGAGCGAAGCGGGGACGGGUGAGUAACACGUGGAUAACCUCCUAUAAGACUGGGAUAACUUCGGGAAACCGGAGCUACGCCGGAUACUUAUAGAUGGAUAGGUGCUGCAUUAGCUAGUUGGUAAGUUAAAGGUUUACCAAGGCAACGAUGCAUAGCCGGCCUGACAGGGUGAUGGAUCACACUGGAACUGUGACUCGGUCCGGACUCCUACGGAGGGUAGCAGUAGUGAAUCUUCCGCAAUUGGCGAAAGCCUUACGGAACAACGCCGCGUGAGUGAUGAAGGUCUUCGGAUCGUAAAACUCUGUUUUUAGAGAAGCGGUACCUAAUCAGAAAGCCACGGCUAACUACGUGCCAGCAGCCGCGGUAAUUC